UGACGGAGCAACGCCGCGUGAGUGAUGAAGGUCUUCGGACGUAAAACUCUGUAUUAGGGAAGAACAAAUGUGUAAGUAACUAUGCACGUCUUGACGGUACCUAAUCAGAAAGCCACGGCUAACUACGUGCCAGCAGCGCGGUAAUACGUAGGUGGCAAGCGUUAUCCGGAAUUAUUGGGCGUAAAGCGCGCGUAGGCGGAUUUUUAAGUCUGAUGUGAAAGCCCACGGCUCAACCGUGGAGGGUCAUUGGGAAACUGGAAAACUUGAGUGCAGAAGAGGAUAGUGGAAUUCCAUGUGUAGCGGUGAAAUGCGCAGAGAUAUGGAGGAACACCAGUGGCGAAGGCGACUUUCUGGUCUGUAACUGACGCUGAUGUGCGAAAAGCGUGGGGAUCAAACAGGAUUAGAUACCCUGGUAGUCCACGCCGUAAACGCUGAGUGCUAAGUGUUAGGGGGUUUCCGCCCCUUAGUGCUGCAGCUAACGCAUUAAGCACUCCGCCUGGGGAGUACGACCACAAGGUUGAAACUCAAAGGAAUUGACGGGGACCCGCACAAGCGGUGGAGCAUGUGGUUUAAUUCGAAGCGACGCGAAGAACCUUACCAAAUCUUGACAUCCUCUGAC
rnacentral:rRNA from 1 species